rnacentral:rRNA from 1 species
CAGUGAUAAACUGGAGGAAGGUGGGGAUGACGUCAAGUCAUCAUGGCCCUUACGACCAGGGCUACACACGUGCUACAAUGGCGCAUACAAAGAGAAGCGACCUCGCGAGAGCAAGCGGACCUCAUAAAGUGCGUCGUAGUCCGGAUUGGAGUCUGCAACUCGACUCCAUGAAGUCGGAAUCGCUAGUAAUCGUGGAUCAGAAUGCCACGGUGAAUACGUUCCCGGGCCUUGUACACACCGCCCGUCACACCAUGGGAGUGGGUUGCAAAAGAAGUAGGUAGCUUAACCUCCGGGAGGGCGCUUACCACUUUGUGAUUCAUGACUGGGGUGAAGUCGUAACAAGGUAACCGUAGGGGAACCUGC